rnacentral:rRNA from 1 species
CAGUAGCGUAUAUUAAAGUUGUUGCAGUUAAAAAGCUCGUAGUUGGAUUUCUGGCGUGGUGCGCCCGGCCCGACACCGCUAAGGUGUCGAGUGCCGGCGCGCGCCUGCCAUCCUUCCGGAGAGCGUGCCUACCCUUCACUGGGCCGGGUACGCGAUCUGGAUCGUUUACUUUGAAAAAAUUAGAGUGUUUAAAGCAGGCUUACGCUUCUGAAUACAUUAGCAUGGAAUAAUAAGAUAGGACUUUGGUUCUAUUUUGUUGGUUUCUAGAACUAAAGUAAUGAUUGAUAGGGACAGUUGGGGGUGCUAGUAUUUAACGGCCAGAGGUGAAAUUCUUGGAUUCGUUAAAGACUAACUAAUGCGAAAGCAUUCACCAAGGAUGUCUUCUUUAA